rnacentral:rRNA from 1 species
UACGUAGGCAGCAAGCGUUGUUCGGAGUUACUGGGCGUAAAGGGUGUGUAGGCGGUUCUUUAAGUUUGGUGUGAAAUCUCCCGGCUCAACUGGGAGGGUGCGCCGAAUACUGAGGGACUCGAGUGCGGGAGAGGAAAGUGGAAUUCCUGGUGUAGCGGUGAAAUGCGUAGAUAUCAGGAGGAACACCGGUGGUGUAAACGGCUUUCUGGACCGUAACUGACGCUGAGACACGAAAGCGUGGGUAGCAAACAGG